rnacentral:rRNA from 1 species
CCACGGUGAAUACGUUCCCGGACCUUGUACACACCGCCCGUCAAGCCAUGGAAGCUGGGUGUACCUAAAGUCGGUAACCGCAAGGAGCCGCCUAGGGUAAAACUAGUAACUGGGGCU